rnacentral:rRNA from 1 species
UACGUAGGGUCCGAGCGUUGUCCGGAAUUACUGGGCGUAAAGAGCUCGUAGGUGGUUUGUCGCGUUGUUCGUGAAAACUCACAGCUCAACUGUGGGCGUGCGGGCGAUACGGGCAGACUAGAGUACUGCAGGGGAGACUGGAAUUCCUGGUGUAGCGGUGAAAUGCGCAGAUAUCAGGAAGAACACCCGUGGCUAAGGCGGUUCUCUAGUACGGUACUGACGCUGAGACGCGAAAGCGUGGGGAGCGAACAGG